rnacentral:rRNA from 1 species
UACGAAGGGGGCUAGCGUUGCUCGGAAUCACUGGGCGUAAAGCGCACGUAGGCGGAUUGUUAAGUCAGGGGUGAAAUCCUGGAGCUCAACUCCAGAACUGCCUUUGAUACUGGCGAUCUCGAGUCCGGGAGAGGUGAGUGGAACUGCGAGUGUAGAGGUGAAAAUUCGUAGAUAUUCGCAAGAACACCAGUGGCGAAGGCGGCUCACUGGCCGGUACUGACGCUGAGGUGCGAAAGCGUGGGGAGCAAACAGGGAUAAGAAACCCCGGUGAGCCCAGGAACCGAACUUACUCAC